rnacentral:rRNA from 1 species
UACGUAGGGAGCAAGCGUUGUCCGGAAUCAUUGGGCGUAAAGCGCGCGUAGGUGGUCCUAUAAGUCCGCUGUGAAAGUCAAAGGCUCAACCUUUGAAAGCCGGUGGAUACUGUGGGACUAGAGUACGGAAGAGGCGAGUGGAAUUCCUGGUGUAGCGGUGGAAUGCGCAGAUAUCAGGAGGAACACCAAUGGCGAAGGCAGCUCGCUGGAACGGUACUGACGCUGAGGCGCGAAAGCGUGGGGAGCGAACAGG